rnacentral:rRNA from 1 species
CGUUCCCGGGUCUUGUACACACCGCCCGUCACACCAUGGGAGCCGGGUUUUACCAGAAGUAGGUAGCUUAACCGCAAGGAGGGCGCUUACCACGGUAGGAUUCGUGACUGGGGUG